AUUGAACGCUGGCGGCAGGCCUAACACAUGCAAGUCGAACGGCAACAGGAAGAAGCUUGCUUCUUUGCUGACGAGUGGCGGACGGGUGAGUAAUGUCUGUGAAACUGCCUGAUGGAGGGGGAUAACUACUGGAAACGGUAGCUAAUACCGCAUAACGUCGCAAGACCAAAAAGGGGGACCUUCGGGCCUCUUGCCAUCGGAUGUGCCCAGAUGGGAUUAGCUAGUAGGUGGGGUAACGGCUCACCUAGGCGACGAUCCCUAGCUGGUCUGAGAGGAUGACCAGCCACACUGGAACUGAGACACGGUCCAGACUCCUACGGGAGGCAGCAGUGGGGAAUAUUGCACAAUGGGCGCAAGCCUGAUGCAGCCAUGCCGCGUGUAUGAAGAAGGCCUUCGGGUUGUAAAGUACUUUCAGCGGGGAGGAAGGGAGUAAAGUUAAUACCUUUGCUCAUUGACGUUACCCGCAGAAGAAGCACCGGCUAACUCCGUG
rnacentral:rRNA from 1 species